UUUCGUUAUCCUUCGCCAUCAUUUGACACAUUUGAUUUGCCAUGCAUAAAAAAAGCGGCUGUAAAGCCGCUUUUCUGUGUCG
rnacentral:sRNA from 1 species